AAGAAAUUUGAUUCAAGAAUUUCAUGAAAGGAAGAAAAAGAAGAAACAGGAUUUGCCGAGAAGAAUAAGAAAAUAUAGGGAAAGAAUGGAAGAAAUUUUAAGGGAAGAAGAAAGAAGAAUUAGAGGAACGAGAGGGAAAAACCUGGAAUUGAGGAGACUCCCAUUCAUCUGCCCAUAGUUGCAACUACAGUGAGAAGAUUUGGAAGCAAUCCCAU
rnacentral:misc_RNA from 1 species